GUGCGCCUGUGCGCGCUACUGUCCUAGUUCGCCAUAACGGACCUUCCUCACGUCACCCCGCCUGACCCGGAAACCCUACGGCACACCGCCCCGCCGCGGUGCCGCCGCCUCCACUCCACGUCGCCCCACAGCGGGGCCAUCGCCACCCCGCCGACGCGUGCCGUUGAACCGCGACGCCCCGGAGACGGACUGCUGCCCGGCCGCGUCCUCGCCGACGCCGAUCCCAUCCCAUCCUGCCGCGCUGCUGCUGCUGCGGAAGCGCGCGCGGCAACUCAGGACGGAUGCCGGACGCCCCGCGACAAAGCCCUCCACCGACCCGUGGUCACUCUGCCCGCUUGCGUCCUCGCCGAUGUCGUCGCGCCCGACCCGUGCGAACACGCCCCUGCCCUCGACCGCGCCACCACCCUGGACACCGAAAACGACGCUCAACGCCCACGCAGAGUCUGCCAUCACAGACUCGCAAGAACUCAUCGAUUCCCGUAGGCCAGGUUCUGCAUUUCUCCUUUGUUCCACUGCUUCGUUAAGACUCGAUAGGGGAUUCUGUGCAGGAGCUCUUCACCACGUCACCGACCAAGUGCUCGACAGAUUGCCUCAGCCAGAUAUUUUAGGCACUAAAGCAUGUUUAUCUUUAGUGUAUGUGUAUGUGUGAGGGUCUGAAGCGCAGUGAAUCCACGUUACUUAAGGGCUAUCUACGAGAAUGCUGUUAUCUUGAUCUUGAAAAUUAAAGACCGCGAGGCAUUUGAGAGGAGCUUGUGCUAGCUAAAAGAAUUUUACAUCAAUACAUGGUUUGUCUCUCCUACAACUAUUGACAUCAUGAUCCAUCCUUGUCAAGCACAUAAGAUAGAGUGGCUUUCGCUGAGUAAAGUUUAUCCAAUGGCCUUUGGUUUGUGAGAAUUCAUGAAAGUGAUUUGAUUAAAUUUGCUUAAGUCUGAUGUUUAUACAAAGUGUUUAUCGAAUUGUUAAUUGUCUAAGUGAGGUUCUGAACUUCUGAUGCUAUUCACUCGUGAUCUGAAUUCUAAUUGUUAGUUGCAUCUGGGAACCCAUGUAUAAACAUGCAUGAUCCACUCUAGAUACGGUGAUGGUGGAACCGCUCUUCUAGCAGCAUGAUCGUGUUCCUUCCUGACAGAAUAUGAUCCUCAUGUCAGUCUAAGACUGACCAUAUUAAUUUUUGGUUUUUGCAUUCAGUUUGGUUUUGUUGCUCCAUAUCUGUCAUGGGGAUAAGAUGGGUAUUUCAUGAAGCUAAUAUCUCGAUAAAAUCAUUUAUAGUGCCUUAAGGGAACAACAAUGAAGUACAACAUGGUAGGAGACGAAUCAAAUUAAUCUUGUCUAGCCUCCAUAGUUAACAAGGAGCUCUGCGACUGCAACUGUUUUGUUUGUCCUGUCUUUAGAAAAGUCUCAGCUGCAGCCUGUCAAGUUUAGACAGUAGCUGAUAGUGACAAAGACCUGCAGCUAACCAAGUCGGGUGGUGGUUAUAUACUAUAAUACAGCUGCUAGCUCUUUGUUUAAGUGAUAGACCAAUUGCUCUUUUUUGUUCUUUUGAUGUUGGUUGCUGUAAAUAAAUUUGUUUCUAACAUGGUUUUAUUUGUUCUUCUGUUCAUGUGGCCGAUUCUGAUUGCUGGAAUGGUGGCGAAACUCAUCAGUGCCAGAUCCAAACAGCAUGCCUUAUAAUUUCGAGCCAUCUCUUUUAGUUAUCUCUGUCUUGUGCUACCUGCUAGAUCUAUACUAUAAUGCCUGCAAGUAUCAUCAACAGCUGUGUUUCUUAAUUGUGGGAUGAUGAAAAACCAUUCUUCCUCAUUGAUAUCUGUCAUAAUCUUAAAAGGAAAUUGCGCACACAUUUUUACCUCAGUUGAAACUUGCUUCGAUAUUAUUUUUUCCUAUUUAGAUGUAUAUAAUUGAUAUGUCUGGUGCCACUAUGAUAGUUCUUGGUUUCUUAUUGACAUGGCAUAAACUCCAUUUUUGUAAAAGAUAUUCUAGAGAAUAGCCAGUCCAAGGAGCACAAUUUAGGAAUUCUUCUGGUAAGUAAUGCAUUUCUUAUUGUUGGUACUUAAUGCUAAAAGUUUCAUUUUGGCUCACUGCAUACUGCUAGCUUUGUGACAUGUCUGACCUUAAAUUUUUUUUAUCACUCUUUACUACUCCAUUGGAGAAACAUGACAUUUAAUUUCUCUUAGUGACGAUGAAAUGUGAAAUGACACCUUUUAUUUUAUCCUUUUUUGAUAGGUCAAGUUUUUCAAUUUUUAUCGAUGCAAGUUGAACCAUUGGGAUGUCGGAAUAUCUUGCAACUCUAUUAGGACUUUUUUCUCAAAUAGAAAUAAAGCGUAAGCCAAUAAUUUACUAGAUGACUUAUACCAUAUAAAUCUGCUGUGCUACUGUCGUUGCCACAUUACUUAUGGUUUUGUUCAACCUGGUUUACACUUUACAUAUUACCCUUGCCACAUUAGUGUUUCGGAAUUAUGGGCUAAAACAAUGUAUGAAGAUCCACAACUAUCUAGCCUCUGAAGGUGUUCUCUCGAGCUCAGCCUGGGUACAUGCAAUAAACCUUACUGAAUCUGCCUGUAAGCUGUGAUGUUUUAGCUUGCUGAACCUAUAUUUUGGUAUGGUCUAUUUUUGACCAACUUUUAUCUCCACCCAAACAGUUAUAUAAGCAUUGUGACAACCAGUUUAGCAACUGAUUGCUAAGUUUUUUUGUUGUAAUCGAGCACGUGGUAGAUGUGUUUAUAUUGACUUCUGACAAAGCUUCUGAUGGUAGCUGAUGCUAUUACCUUAAUGCAGGGGCAAUAAGUUGGUGCAUUUGCAAAGGCACAAAUCCUAUUGCGGGCCUGAAAUCUAUCAGGCACACCUCUAGGCGAAUGGAGAACCUGGUUGCGCUCAGCUGGAAGGGAGAGUCCUUCAGAAAUCUUGGAGCUCGAGUUCACGACAAUGGCUGCUCUGAAGAAAAAUGAACCCUGUCUUCCAAAGUGCCUGAUAACCUUCUGGAAUCUUAACAUUAGCAAACAUGACUUGACAAUCAAGGAUGUUCUCUUAGAUAAAGAGUAGAGAGGGACUCCUUUGCUUGGUGGAUUUUAGGAUUUUGGAACUUUCUGCAGCAAGGUGCUCCAGUUUGUAUAUGCCUAUUUCUGUAAACCACAAGCUGUGCUAUAAUCUUUCUGAACGUCUGCAUUGGAGUAUAAGCAAUUGUGUAUCUAUGUGUGUAUUUUAAAAAAAAUAAUUUCUGUUGCAA